GACGAACGCUGGCGGCGUGCCUAAUACAUGCAAGUCGAACGCAGUGGGGACGGGUGAGUAACACGUGGGUAACCUCCCAUCAGAGGGGAUAACACUUGGAAACAGGUGCUAAACCGAUACUGAUGGAUGGACCCGCGGUGCAUUAGCUAGUUGGUGAGGUAACGGCUCACCAGGGCCAUGAUGCAUCGCCGACCUGAGAGGGGGAUCGCGCACACUGGGACUGAGACACGGCCCAGACUCCUACGGGAGGCAGCAGUAGGGAAUCGUCGGCAAAGGAGGAAAGUCUGACCGAGCAACGCCGCGUGAGUGAAGAAGGUUUGCGGAUGGGAAAACUCUGUUGUGAGAGAAGCGGUAUCUAACCAGAAAGCCACGGCUAACUACGUGCCAGCCGCCGCGGUAAUUC
rnacentral:rRNA from 1 species